CUUGCAAACAACGUAAAACCCCAAACAAAAUUAUCGACGCCAUAAAAAUAUUUUAGUAGUACGAAUCAACAACUAACACAAGUUAAGUUGCGGAACUGUGCAUUGAAAAACAUAUAAUAAGGACGAAUAAGGACAAGUUAAUCCAUAAGAAUUAAAGCAGCUGAUUGGUGACGUCCGAGGCAGAUUCGGUGACGGAAUUAUUAUGCAGACGGCGUUCAACUUUACAAGGACACCUCCUAACGCCGACUCCGACUGGCCAGCUGCUGGUUCCAAGGGAAGAAUAAAUAAGUCUCUGUCUGACUUUAUUUCGUUGUGUUGGCGAACGUCGGAUCAAAGAUUGGGAAACCGGGAACAAAUUUACACAGGAUUUACACAAUUGCUUCGGUGUUGGAAGUGAUUAGAGCAGCGUUGGCCACGAUGUAUCGCCGACAAGUAAAUCACGACCAAGAUCACAUAGAACGAUUUGGCCCAGUGGUUGCUGAAUUUUUAUUCAGACGGACGAGUUGCAGUCUAGUGACAUUGGAUCGAACAAUACGCAUUAUAAGAAUUAUCUAUUAGCGAGUCUCGGUCGUUUCCGCUGAUACUGUGCCAAUCCUAUGCCGGCUGGUGUUGUGAACGAUUAAACAAUGACAUGGAUGAAGAAACCUCGUUGCGGACUUCCGGAUCGUAUUUUACCGGAAGGUUCUUCUACUUGGCGGAAGCGCAACAUUGUUAUACAAAAUACUUGCAGUCGUUGGCAUGGAAUCGAACAAUACGCAUUAUUAUAAGGUGCUAUCAGAGUGAUGCUAUGUAAAAUUACUUCGACUCCAAAAUAAUUUCAUCAGUUCUCUGUGCUAGAAUCGAACGAUCUUGCUGCCCAGCAAAUAUCGAUAUGUCGUCUGCCAGUCUGCCACAACUCACAAGCGCCUCGUUGGAGUUGAGUAAUAGUCUCCUAAAGUAAAUAAUCCAUCUACAUAAUUCUGGUUUUGUGAAGAAGAUCAAAAACGUUUCUGUGAUAAGUUAGUACUUUCCUUCGUGUAUUGUUGUAUUCCUAGUUUGAUUCAAC